rnacentral:rRNA from 1 species
GAUGAACGCUAGCUACAGGCUUAACACAUGCAAGUCGAGGGGUAACGAGAGGAAAGCUUGCUUUCCUUGUCGACGACCGGCGCACGGGUGAGUAACGCGUAUCCAACCUGCCCCCAACUAGGGAAUAACCUUGCGAAAGUAAGACUAAUACCCUAUAAUUUCCUCAGAUGUCAUCUGACGAGGAAUAAAGAUUUAUCGGUUGUGGAUGGGGAUGCGUCUGAUUAGCUUGUUGGCGGGGUAACGGCCCACCAAGGCAACGAUCAGUAGGGGUUCUGAGAGGAAGGUCCCCCACAUUGGAACUGAGACACGGUCCAACCUCCUACGGGGGGCAGCAGUGAGGAAUAUUGGUCAAUGGGCGGAAGCCUGAACCGGCCAAGUAGCGUGCAGGAUGACGGCCCUAUGGGUUGUAAACUGCUUUUAUACAGGAAUAAAGUUAGCCACGUGUGGUUAUUUGUAGGUACUGUAUGAAUAAGGACCGGCUAAUUCCGUGCCAGCCGCCGCAGUAA